ensembl:lincRNA Gm26894 predicted gene, 26894
AAACAGAGCAGGGCUGACUGCUUGGUCACACGCACCCCCCCCCCCCCCCCCCCCUCCCGGGAAGGAGUCUGUUUCCCACCCGCAAUGGGUCUCUACCUGAGUCAUCAGCCGGUCUGCUCCCGUGUUUUCCUCAUCCUUAAAUAUGAUGUCGGGGUUGUAAUUGGGGGUGAGUUCCUUAAAUCGUUCGGAGUUUCUUGUGAUCUUCCCUUCAUAUCUGCCGCUGGCCCCUAGGGUCUUCUCGGCUACGUUGGGAAUAAACUGCUUGUAGGCUAAAGGGGUCAGCUUUUUGGGGUGCCGCCUCUUUCCAAACCCCCUGCCGGGCCCACAGGCCAGCCCGGGGCACACCAGCAGCGAGGAAGCAAGGAUCACCAGAAAACAUCUGGCCAGCAGCAGCAGCAUCUCGUCCGCGGAACCUGAGGACUUGUGAGCUGUCCCCGCGCUGUCUGUGCGCGAGCGGACUGUGGGUGUUUGGAUUCACUGAGAAGGACGUCAGAUGUGGAGCCAUCAUGGAAAUUGCAUGGAAGCUUCUCAGAGACCCAAACUGGAACCAACCCAGUGACUCAGCAACUCCACUAGUUGGAAAUGAAGUCGGCGAGCUUAAAGGAUAUAUGUCCUGACAGGACAUCCCAGCAAAGAUAUGGAAGCAAAGAUACACAGUAAAGAUAUGAAAGUAACUGGAUGUCCAUAAAGGAAACAGAUGGAAAAAAAUUGGUGUGUACUCACCAUGAGAUAUUACUCAGCCAUGAAAAGGGAGAAAAGUCCCAACAUUUCCAAGAACAUAGAAAAGCCUAGAAGGCACAAUGUGACUGGAAGGACAGACACAGAAGGACAAGGUGAUCUCAUUUAGAUGUGCUGGUUUAAACAAGAAUGUCACCCAGAGGUUCUGGCAUAUGAAUAUUUGGUCCCCAGUUGGUGGCACUGUUUGGGGGAAGUUUCAGAGGUGUGGCCUCUUUGGAGGAAGUGUGUCAUUGGAAGAAGGCUUUGAGAAGAACUACAAGACUGGAACAAUUUCUAACUAGCUCUCUCUCUCCUUCCUGCUUGAGGAGAUGUAAGAUUUCAGCUAUUCCUGCUGCUGUGACUGUUGUCUGCUGCCACAAUUCCCUGCCAUGAUGGGAACCAUAGUCCAAAUAAAUCCUUUCUUCU